AGUGAAGAGGUGUAGAUGUGGCACGGAGGGUUUUGGUCUUUCAGGAGUCUUAUCAAUAAGACCUUUACUA
rnacentral:tRNA from 1 species